CUACGUAGGGUGCGAGCGUUAAUCGGAAUUACUGGGCGUAAAGCGUGCGCAGGCGGUUAUAUAAGACAGUUGUGAAAUCCCCGGGCUCAACCUGGGAAUUGCAUCUGUGACUGUAUAGCUAGAGUACGGUAGAGGGGGAUGGAAUUCCGCGUGUAGCAGUGAAAUGCGUAGAUAUGCGGAGGAACAACGAUGGCGAAGGCAAUCCCCUGGACCUGUACUGACGCUCAUGCACGAAAGCGUGGGGAGCAAACAGGAUUAGAUACCCUGGUAGUCCACGCCCUAAACGAUGUCAACUGGUUGUUGGGUGCAUUAGUACUCAGUAACGAAGCUAACGCGUGAAGUUGACCGCCUGGGGAGUACGGCCGCAAGGUUGAAACUCAAAUGAAUUGGCGGGG
rnacentral:rRNA from 1 species